UAGGGAAUAUUAGAAAUGGACGAAAGUCUGAUCUAGCAACACCGCGUGUGCGAAGAAGGCCUUCGGGUUGUAAAGCACUUUUUGGAAGGAUUAGGAAGGAAUGUACUUCCAGAAUAAGUCUCGGCUAACUACGUGCAGCAGCCGCGGUAACAAGUAGGAGGCAAACGUUAUCCGGAUUUACUGGGCGUAAAGCGCGUGUAGGUGGUUCUGUAAGUAGGGCGUGAAAGCUCCUGGCUCAACUGGGAGAGGCCGUUCUAAACUGCAGAGCUAGAGGAUGGUAGAGGGAGGUGGAAUUCCGGGUGUAGCGGUGGAAUGCGCAGAUAUCCGGAGGAACACCAGUGGCGAAAGCGGCCUCCUGGACCACUCCUGACACUCGGACGCGAAAGCUAGGGUAGCAAACG
rnacentral:rRNA from 1 species